rnacentral:rRNA from 1 species
AUUGGACGCUGGCGGCAUGCCUUACACAUGCAAGUCGAACGGUAACAGGUCUUCGGAUGCUGACGAGUGGCGAACGGGUGAGUAAUACACCGGAACGUGCCCGAUCGUGGGGGAUAACGGAGCGAAAGCUUUGCUAAUACCGCAUACGAUCUACGGAUGAAAGCGGGGGAUCUUCGGACCUCGCGCGGACGGAGCGGCCGAUGGCAGAUUAGGUAGUUGGUGGGAUAAAAGCUUACCAAGCCGACGAUCUGUAGCUGGUCUGAGAGGAUGAUCAGCCACACUGGGACUGAGACACGGCCCAG